AUUGAACGCUGGCGGCAGGCCUAACACAUGCAAGUCGAACGGCAGCGGGGGAUAGCUUGCUAUCCUGCCGGCGAGUGGCGGACGGGUGAGUAAUGCAUGGGGAGCUGCCCAAUCGAGGGGGAUAACAACUGGAAACGGUUGCUAAUACCGCAUACGCCCUGCGGGGGAAAGGUGGGGACCUUCGGGCCUACCGCGAUUGGAUGCACCCAUGUGGGAUUAGCUGGUUGGUGAGGUAACGGCUCACCAAGGCGACGAUCCCUAGCUGGUCUGAGAGGAUGCACAGCCAAACUGGAACUGAGACACGGUCCAGACUCCUACGGGAGGCAGCAGUGGGGAAUAUUGCACAAUGGGGGAAACCCUGAUGCAGCCAUGCCGCGUGUGUGAAGAAGGCCUUCGGGUUGUAAAGCACUUUCAGUGGGGAGGAAGGGUUGAUGACUAAUAUUCAUCAGCAUUGACGUUACCCACAGAAGAAGCACCGGCUAACUCCGUGCCAGCCGCCGCCGUAACAC
rnacentral:rRNA from 1 species